ACACGUGGGUAACCUGCCCAUAAGAGGGGGAUAACAUCCGGAAACGGGUGCUAAUACCGCAUAGUUUUCUUGAUCGCAUGAUUGAGAAAGGAAAGACGGCCUUUGUGCUGUCGCUUAUGGAUGGACCCGCGGCGUAUUAGUUAGUUGGUGAGGUAACGGCUCACCAAGACGAUGAUACGUAGCCGACCUGAGAGGGUGAUCGGCCACAUUGGGACUGAGACACGGCCCAAACUCCUACGGGAGGCAGCAGUAGGGAAUCUUCCGCAAUGGACGAAAGUCUGACGGAGCAACGCCGCGUGAGUGAAAAGAAGGUUUUCGGAUCGUAAAACUCUGUUGUCAGAGAAGAACAAGUUGGGGAGUAACUGCUCCAGCCUUGACGGUAUCUGACCAGAAAGCCACGGCUAACUACGUGCCAGCAGCGGC
rnacentral:rRNA from 1 species